rnacentral:rRNA from 1 species
UACGGAGGAUGCAAGCGUAUCCGGAAUGAUUGGGCGUAAAGCGUUCGUAGGUGGUUCUUCAAGUCUGCUGUCAAAGCGCAGGGCUUAACUCUGUACAGGCGGUGGAAACUGAAGAGCUAGAGUGCGGUAGGGGUAGAGGGAAUUCCCGGUGUAGCGGUGAAAUGCGUAGAGAUCGGGAAGAACACCAGCAGCGAAAGCGCUCUACUGGGCCUGCACUGACACUGAGGGACGAAAGCUAGGGGAGCGAAUGGG